GGUCAGUUAGCGUAGUGAUGAAGGCUAUGGACCGCCAAUCCGUAGACGGCGGGUUCGAUUCUCGUUCCGAUCU
rnacentral:tRNA from 1 species